rnacentral:piRNA from 1 species
UAAUAGUCGCCUUGUAAAUGUAUACAUUUA